UUUUUUUUUUUUUUUCUACCCAAGUCCUCAGGGAUAACCCUGUACCCUGGCUCUCUUUCUACCUCUCUGAUUUUUCUUCUCCCUCUCUGAUUUUCUUUCUCAGUACCCUUUCUUUUUCAAGUCCACACCUUCCUUGAUACUCUCCUCUCUUUGACCAGAUUUCAUGUUUAUUAAGCCAGCUUCUAAUUAUAAUUUGGUUUUUUAAUUUAGUUUCUCAAGGAGGUUCGCCUGCUGGGACAGAAUGUAUUGGUCAAGGGAUUUCAAGUAGACUUUGAAGACUUAUUAUAAUUCUCUUUCUAAUGUAAUUAAUUGGCAUGCUGAUUUAUUUAUCAGUCUCUCAUCUGACUGUUAAGAGUCAGUCAUCCUCUGUGAGACUGCUAACCUCUGUGAGCCUUCCUGAAAGAGAGCAGAUGCUGGGAUACGGUAACCACAGCUAAACAACGUCACUCCAAGAGUUCCAAGUUGCCAACUGACCUCCUGUAGGGACCAUGCCUACCUCAUUUCUCUGUAAAUUCAAUAGCUUUAUGAGAGAAGCAAAGCAGAAAUUUCAAGGGCCAAUAUGUAAUUAUAAAAUGAAUUAUCAAGACUAGGCUCUUGUGGGGAUAAGGCAGUUAAUUAAAUAAAAAUGCAGAUAUGGAGUUCCCAUUGUGGUUCAGUGGGCUGUGAACUUGACUAUAUCCGUGAGGAUCCAUGACGAUGUUCAAUCCCUGGCCUUGCUCAGUGGGUUAAGGAUCUGGCAUCAUCUCAAGCUAUGUGAGUGACAAAUGUGACUUGGAUCUGGUGUUGCUGCGGUGGUGGUGUAGGCCUGCAGCUGCAGCUCCAAUUCCAUCCCUCGCCUGGAACUUCCAUAUGCCAUGAGUGCAGCCCUAAAAGGGAAAAAAAAUGAAGAUGCAAGCGAAAUGUAACAAUUUAUCAUUCAUGGGCCCUAAAGUUAUCUUCCUUAGAAUAUGGAGCCGGAGUUCCUAUUGUGGGUCAGUGGUUAAUGAAUCCAACUAGGAACCAUGAGGUUGCGGGUUUGAUUCCUGGCCUUGCUCAGUGGGUUAAGGAUCUGGUAUUGCCAUGAGCUGUGGUGUAGCUUGCAGAUGCAGCUUGGAUCCCACGUUGCUGUGGCUCUGGCAUAGGCAGGCGGCUACAGCUCCUAUUAGACCCCUAGCCUGGGAACCUCCAUAUACUGCAGGAGCGGCUCUAGAAAAAAAGGCACACACACCAAAAAAAAAAAAAAGACAAAAAAAAAAAAAAAAAGAAGAUGGGGCCUAGUAUAGUACCUGGUUUUAGAAGAUACUUUAUGAACAUAUGUUGACUGAAUAACAAAAUGUUCUCUAUUUAGAAAUUUAAACUUGUAUCUGCAUGUAGACUCCUUUAAAAUUAAGGCUUCGAUGUCUGCAUUCCAAUUAAGUGGAUGCUUAAUAAGCACCAAGAAGCAAACAUCAUAUUAAAUGCUUCCAUAAGAUAGCAUUAUAGUAUAUAUAAUUUUUAGUUUUCUCAACAUACUCUAAGGAUUCCUUUACCCACUCAGUUUUAGGAAGAAAAAUUCUUUUGUUUUUUCGGGUUUUGAUAUUGGUGUCUGGGGGUACUUCACAGGAUUUAAAAAUAUCUAGCUAGACUUGUAGAGAAUAUUGUAUUCUUGGGAUUUUGAAGAGAGAGCUUACUUUGACACGUUGUAAUAACAGUGAAAAAUAAAGUUAUAUCUAUUAAAGCCUUAAUUGAUAAGUUCCAGCAAGUGUAUCUGAUUUCGCACUCUGCAGACUAAUAUAUAGGAUAAAGUUUGAAAACAAGUACAGUAAUUGUCUUUUAUAGAUGGUGUAUCCACCUAUUUCUGACAGAUCUCAUAUUGGCUAUAUAAAAUAAGUAUAGUACAGUAGUAUGGUAAGUUGAAAGCUUUCCUUUGAGAAUAGUGAUGACUCAUCUUUUUUAAUUGCUAGAUUUAAGAUGAUGAACACUUUUUUUGAAAAGUGUGAUUUUCCUCUAUUGCUAUGUUUAAUUAAAUGCAAAAAUACUAGAGUGGUGCAACCUUUAAGACUGCAAAUUUAAACUCAUAUAAGUCAGAUAAUGGAAAAGUGAAGGUUGUGAUAGCAACGUUAACUCAUGCAUUGCACAUAGAUUGCAUUUUCAUGACUAAUUAGGCGAUUUAAGCAAAGGUGAUGCCAAUGAGGUGCUUGCCUCUCCUCUCUUAAAUCCAUGACUAUUUUAAACUAGGCUUUCUACUUGUAUCAUUUAGUGAGAGCCAAAGAUACUUUUAGCAUAGUUUAAUGUUAGUAUUUCUUUCUGAGAAGUUGUAUUACCUUUGAGCAUAACCCCAUCUAGCUUGGAUCAGCACCAUGGUGGCCUUUUUCUUUGUAGUAUAUUUUCUCAGAGUAAUGUUUUAAAGUUUAGUACAUGGAAGAUUAAAAUAAUGAAGCCACUGAGAAUAUUCUAUAGUAAUAUUAUUGGAAUAUUUUUCAAGAGACCAAAAUUGAAUGGUUUUGUGAUAAACCCUCUGAGAUGGAAGAUUGGAUAGAAUUAGUGUAAUGGAACAAGUGUUGGUUUGGAGCCAGGCAACCUGGGUUUGGAUUGUCAUACUGUGAUUUAGUAGAUAUGAGACUUGAGGUAGUUUACUUAGUUUUCACAAUUUUGUUGGCUUAACUCUUGUUUUAAAAAAUUAUUUUUAAAAAAUUUUAUUGGAGUAUGUUUCACUCUCAAUGUUAUAUGCAUUUCAGGUCUACAGCAAAGUGAAUCAGUUAUACAUGUACAUAUAUCUAUUCUUUUUUCCCAUAUAGGUUAUUACAAACUAUUGAGUAGAUUUCCCUCUUCUUGUUAAUUAUCUAUUUUAUACAUUAGUGGGUAUAAAAAAUAUACCCAUCAUGAAUUUGCAUGCCAUCCUUGCACAGGGGGCAUGCUAAUAGUCUCUGUAUCACUCCACUUUUGGUAUGUGUGCUGCCAAAGCAAGCACUCGUUGGCUUAACUGUAAAAUGAGGGAUAAACUCUACCAUGCAGGAUGCUUAUGAGAAUCAAAGGCACUAAAGAGUGGUGAGUUAUUAUUUCUUUAUUAUUUUACUAUUAUUUUCACGAGAAUGGAGUUACAAUGAUAUUCCAGUGACAUAUGAAAUAUUUCCCUCUUGUCAUCCAAGUACAACUUAAUGCAAAAUUAGACUGACAUGUUUCCUGAUGUGAUGGACAUCUGAUACAUUUUAUAGAUUGCCAGCCACAUAAUUCUCUUCCUGCUUCUCCCAUGGCCCUCCUCUGAUGCAUUUUCCACACUGCUGCCAGAGUGAUCUUCCUGAAGCAUGUGUAUCAUCAGUUCACUUGCUUGUUUAAAAUGUUUCCAAGGAGCCCAUUGCCUUUAGGAUAAAGUCCCACUCUCUCCCUACCCAUAUGCCUGGAUGCUCCAUGUUAGUCUAUGUGUUUUUGCUUCUCUGCUUUGCUUGGCAUGCCUUUUCCAUCCCCUCUGUAUGCUACAAAUUCUUAUUUAUUCCUAAUGACUUACUAUAGUGUGAAUCCUUCUGGAAAGCUUGCUUUGAUUGCCUCAGCUAGAAUUAGAGUCCAUUCCUGGGGCUGGAAGAAACUUGUUUCUCUUAGCAUCCUCCUUUUGGUUUUUAUUAUUUGUAUUGCAAUUGACUGUCUACUUAGCAGACAUCCUUGAAUUAGACAUCUCUAAGGCUAGUGUCAGCAUUUUAGUCAUCCCACUAUCUCCAGGGCUGGGAAAUACCUGAUAAACUGUAAAUGUUCAAGAAUCAUUCAACUGAAAUGCAGAUGUAUGUGUAAUAAACACUAUUGGGAUCUCCUGCCCUUGGUAGUUGGCUUCUAGCAACACCUCAGAAGCAUGCUUAACUCAUCUCAAAAUCCCUCCUUCCAAAUUGUUUUUACUUUUUAAGAAAAACACUAUUCAUUUUUACAUGGAAUUUAAUAUCAAAAAAGCUAAUAAAGAUCCUAAAACCCAGCAAUUCUGUUUUAUCCAGAAUAAGAAAAAACUUUGACAUUUCCCAAUGAUUUUUGUAGAAAAUACAAAGUAAUUCCUACCAGUGUAUAAUAUUUUUGGAUGGGGGCAGGGAUGAGAUUAAGGCAAUGGUGUAUAGGUGGAGUAAUUUCUACCAUAAUUCAAUUCAUUUAAAAAGUUAUAAAUGAUAACAGUAUACUUACUGUGUUGCCUGUGGAUGACCAGAACCUAAAAGUAAAGUAUUUCUUUUAAGUUUUCUCUCAAGAAGGAUGGGUGAAGAUGUGUCAAUCGUUUUUCUAUGGCAGUAUUAUAUGGGGCACCAUUUUUCUUUUUAAUUUUUAAGAUGCAUAUCUCCAAGUGCAUAAUAGCAGUUGUGAUCUCUGCAUCUAGCUGAAGUGCAGAACAAGCCAGAUAUAUGAGCUCCCUGUCAACUUUGUGUUGGGAUUUGAUAUGGGCAAUAGGACAUCUAUUGGGGUGGGUCACUGUUGUUAGGGCAUUUUCCAUUUAGAUGUGGCCUUCCUACCUUUAUGUUACAAUAUAAAUGCCAUGCACAAGGUUUCUUACUUUAGAUCCAAUGGUGGGCCAGGGAGGCUACUAAUUAAUUUUUAGAGGGUAAGGUAGGGUGGAUUUUUCUUUACACCACUGUCAAUUUUCAAAAACAAAUUUGCAAGCACUAAUUUCAUUUAGGCAUUUAAAAAUAAAUGAAUCCACAGUUAUUCCUCAUUCAUUCAGGCGAGGACCCUUGAGGUAAGGAACUGUUCAUUAAUCAGCCAGGCCCUUAUUGCUGAAGUUGCAAAGGUGAAUUAAAUGCAGGAUGGUGGUGGGUGGGGAUGAGGGUCACUGAUUUGGAAUGACAGUUUCUUCUACACAGGCAAGCUUUCAUUUAAAAUAAUACUUGAGCCUAUUAAAUGAUUGUUGAUUUAGGGAUUUGCCUCCUAAUAAAUAUUGAAUUAAUUCAUUUGUUCCCUCAAGAUGCACCUUUCUUAAAGAGGUGGAGUGAAAGAGGUCCUAUAAAGAGGGAAUGUGACCUUCCUUUAUAACAUAAAGAGGUUAGUUCAAAAUAAGUUGUUUUAAUUUUUUUUAAAUUUUUUUAUUUUUAUUUUUUUAAUUUUUUAUUUUUUUAGGGCUGCACCCGUGGCAUGUGGAAAUUCCCAGGCUAGGGGGUCAAAUUGGAACUGUACCUACACCACAGCCACAGCAAUGUCAGAUCUGAACUGCAUCUGUGACAUACACCUCAGCUUGCAGCAAUGCUGGAUUCUUAACCCAUUGAGGGAGGGCAGGGAUUUGGGUUCGUAACCUGCUGAACCACAACAGGAGUUCCAAAUUGUUUUUACUCUUUAAGAAAAACACUAUUCAUUUUUACAUGGAAUUUAAUAUCAAAAAAGCUAAUAAAGAUCCUAAAACCCAGCAAUUCUGUUUUAUCCAGAAUAAGAAAAAACUUUGACAUUUCCCAAUGAUUUUUGUAGAAAAUACAAAGUAAUUCAAGACAUCAACUUGAUGGAUUUUUAAUAACUACAUUAAAGGAAUUCCCAUUGUGGCUCAGUGGAUUAAGAAUCUGACUAGUAUCCACGAGGAUGCGGGUUCAAUCCCUGGCCUCGCUCAUUGGGUUAAGGAUCCAGCAUUGCUGCAAGCUGUGAUGUAGGGUGUGAGAGUGGCUUGGAUCCCACAUUGCUGUGGCUGAGACUGACAACUGCAGCUCCAAUUAGACCACUAGCCUGGGAACUUCCAUUUGUAGGAGGUGUGGCCAAAAAAAAAAAAAAAGAAAAAAGACCUAAAUAGACAGUUUUCCAAGACAUGCAGAUGGCUAACAGGCACAAGAAAAGAUGCUCAGCAUCCCUAAUCAUCAGGGAAAUGUGAGUCAAAACCAUAAUGAGAUAUCACUUCAUACCUGUCAAAAUAGGUAUGUUAUCAAAAAGACAACAAGUAGCAUGUGUUGGUGAAGAUGUGGAGAGAAGGGAACCCUUGUACACUGCUGGUAGGAUUAUACAUUGAUGCAGCCACUACUGGAAAACAGCAUGCAGUUUUCUCCAAAAAUUAAAACUAGAACUACCAUACAAUCCAUCAAUUUUAAUUAUGGGUAUUUACCCAGAGAAAAUAAAAGCAUUAUUUCAGAAAGGUAUAUGUGCUUCAGUGUUCAUUUCAAUCUUAUUUACAAUAACCAAGAAAUGGAAGCAACCUAAGUGUGUACUGAUAGAUGAAUGCGGGUGGAAGAUGUGGUGUGUCAGUGGAUCAUGGUACUCAGACAUAAAAGAAUGAAAUUUUGCCAUUUGUGAAAAUAUAGACGGUCCUAGAGGGUAUUAUGCUCAGUGAAAUAAGUCAGAGAAGGACAAAUACUAUAUGAUAUCUCUUAGAUGUGGAA
ensembl:lncRNA